GCACCUGUGGCGCAACUGGGUAGACGCAGUCGGCUGAGAACCGGCAUUUUGUGGGUUCGAAUCCCACCGGGUGCACCA
rnacentral:tRNA from 1 species